rnacentral:rRNA from 1 species
GACAGAGGGUGCAAACGUUGUUCGGAAUACUGGGCGUAAAGCGUGCGCAGGCGGUGAUGUAAGACAGGUGUGAAAUCCCCGGGCUUAACCUGGGAACUGCAUUUGUGACUGCAUCGCUGGAGUGCGGCAGAGGGGGAUGGAAUUCCGCGUGUAGCAGUGAAAUGCGUAGAUAUGCGGAGGAACACCGAUGGCGAAGGCAAUCCCCUGGGCCUGCACUGACGCUCAUGCACGAAAGCGUGGGGAGCAAACAGG